CAGCCGCCGCGGUAAUACGGAGGGUGCAAGCGUUAAUCGGAAUUACUGGGCGUAAAGCGCACGCAGGCGGUCUGUCAAGUCAGAUGUGAAAUCCCCGAGCUUAACUUGGGAACUGCAUUUGAAACUGGCAAGCUAGAGUCUUGUAGAGGGGGGUAGAAUUCCAGGUGUAGCGGUGAAAUGCGUAGAGAUCUGGAGGAAUACCGGUGGCGAAGGCGGCCCCCUGGACAAAGACUGACGCUCAGGUGCGAAAGCGUGGGGAGCAAACAGGAUUAGAUACCCCUGUAGUCCCUGUCUCUUAUAC
rnacentral:rRNA from 1 species